rnacentral:lncRNA from 1 species
AUACAUAGUACCAACUUGGCAAUUAAUGUUCUUAAAACUACACUAUUUGAUGGACUUGAAGAGACAAUACAUAAGAUUAGAUUGACUUGAAUUGAACCCCUUUAGUGUUAUGGGAUGCUAACAAGGUCACUAUUAAAUCAAUGACCCAUUUAGUAUGUAAUCCACUGCAAUACUAAGAGAAUUGAACAAUAGAAUUGACAAAAUUUUAACCACUUUUUCCCUUAAUACUAUUCACUAUUCCACACCUCAAAACCCUCUUGGACUAAUGGGCCCUUAAUUACAUACCUAACUCGAAAGCAUUCUAUCCUUUCUAACACCAUUACUUCUAGCAAUCUCUCAAUUGUAUCGCUGCUAGUUUAUCUUUUCUUUGAUCACUUUCAUAAUUUUCUGGUGACUACUUUGGCAAGUUCAUGUCUUCUUAUGCAAUGCUGGAAAUGGCAUACAAGGAUACAUUCUCCGGGGCCAAGUGAUAUCAUGCAUGAAGUUGUUAUCUUGGAUCCUACUCUCUUUAGGAGCAACCUUAAAAACUUCCAUUCUGUUAUGGGUACAGUGUUUAUGUAUGUAUAGUUAACUCCAUUUUCUUCUUGUCUUUAACAACGCGUUUUCUACAUAUCGGACUUGGUGAAUUGAU